rnacentral:rRNA from 1 species
CAGGGUAAGUCGGGACCUAAGGCAAGGCCGAGAGGCGUAGUCGAUGGAUAACAGGUAGAGAUUCCUGUACUGUGUUCAAUCGUUAAGAGCGAAGGAGGGACGCAGGAGGUGAAGCACGCAUCGCGAUGGAACGAUGUUCAAGCGACAAGUGCGGUUAAGAGUCAAAUGCUUCUAACCAGCAACACGAGUCGUGAUGAGGAGCGAAGUAAAAGUAGCGAAGGUGUGGUAGUCACACUGCCAAGAAAAGCUUCUAGCCAGAGAGAACAUACCCGUACCGCAAACCGACACAGGUAGUCGAGUGGAGAACACUAAGGUGAGCGAGAGAACUCUCGUUAAGGAACUCGGCAAAAUGACCCCGUAACUUCGGAAGAAGGGGUGCUGGCCAUGAGAAUGGUUAGCCGCAGUGAAUAGGCCCAAACAACUGUUUAUCAAAAACACAGGUCUCUGCAAAAUCGUAAGAUGACGUAUAGAGGCUGACACCUGCCCGGUGCUGGAAGGUUAAGAGGAGAGCUUAGCGCAAGCGAAGGUUUGAAUUGAAGCCCCAGUAAACGGCGGCCGUAACUAUAACGGUCCUAAGGUAGCGAAAUUCCUUGUCGGGUAAGUUCCGACCUGCACGAAAGGUGUAAUGAUUUGGGCACUGUCUCAACGAGAGACUCGGUGAAAUUAUAAUACCCGUGAAGAUGCGGGUUACCCGCGACAGGACGGAAAGACCCCAUGGAGCUUCACUGUAGCUUGAUAUUGAGUAUCUUUUAAACAUGUACAGGAUAGGUAGGAGCCAAGGAAAGCAGGACGCUAGUUUUGCUGGAGGCAAUGUUGGGAUACUACCCUUGUUUGAAGGAUGCUCUAACCUCGACCUGUAAGCCAGGCCAGGGACAGUGUCAGGUGGGCAGUUUGACUGGGGCGGUCGCCUCCUAAAGUGUAACGGAGGCGCUCAAAGGUUCCCUCAGAAUGGUUGGAAAUCAUUCGCAGAGUGUAAAGGUAUAAGGGAGCUUGACUGCGAGAGAGACAACUCGAGCAGGUAGGAAACUAGGACUUAGUGAUCUGGUGGUACCGUAUGGAAGGGCCAUCACUCAACGGAUAAAAGCUACCCUGGGGAUAACAGGCUUAUCUCCCCCAAGAGUUCACAUCGACGGGGAGGUUUGGCACCUCGAUGUCGGCUCGUCGCAUCCUGGGGCUGAAGUCGGUCCCAAGGGUUGGGCUGUUCGCCCAUUAAAGCGGCACGCGAGCUGGGUUCAGAACGUCGUGAGACAGUUCGGUCCCUAUCCGUCGUGGGCGUAGGAAAUUUGAGAGGAGCUGUCCUUAGUACGAGAGGACCGGGAUGGACGCACCGCUGGUGUACCAGUUGUUCCGCCAGGAGCAUCGCUGGGUAGCUAUGUGCGGAAGGGAUAAGCGCUGAAAGCAUCUAAGUGCGAAGCCCCCCUCAAGAUGAGAUUUCCUUUGCGUAAGCAGUAAGACACCUCAAAGACGAUGAGGUAGAUAGGCUGGGAGUGGAAGUUCUGUGAAGAAUGGAGCGGACCAGUACUAAUCAGUCGAGGACUUGACCAAA